UUGGGAUGUUGCCAAGCGGUUAAGGCGUUGGUUUUUGAUAUCAACAUUCAAAGGUUCAAAUCCUUUCAUUCCAGUC
rnacentral:tRNA from 1 species